rnacentral:rRNA from 1 species
UACGUAGGGGGCAAGCGUUGUCCGGAAUCAUUGGGCGUAAAGAGCGUGUAGGCGGCCCGGUAAGUCCGCUGUAAAAGUCAAAGGCUCAACCUUUGAUUGUCAGUGGAUACUGCCGGGCUAGAGUCCGGAAGAGGCGAGUGGAACUCCUGGUGUAGCGGUGGAAUGCGCAGAUAUCAGGAAGAACACCAACGGCGAAGGCAGCUCGCUGGGACGGUACUGACGCUGAGACGCGAAAGCGUGGGGAGCGAACAGG